UCGAAUUUUACAGCCAUAGUAAGUUGAGUAAAAACAGUAGAGCAUUAUUCUAGGCUCAGCCCCUCCCUCGUUCCUUGCUCUUAUUUACCUUUCUCCAUUUGCACCAAAAGGAAACAACAAAUACUGUAUACUCUAAUGUAACCUCACUGUUUGGAUUCACCUUGUGUCUUGUGUUGCUUCCAGUUAAAGUGCCACUUGCUUUCUUAUCUAACCCACCUUGAAUUUUUCUCUUACCGCAUCAGCUUCACACAACUGCCUGGCUGCCAUUAGGAGUGUGUUGGAUAACAUGGUCUCAGACACUCAACUGUUCAGCAAAAUUGUUGGGACUUCUGCCCAGAAUAGGGACACUGUGGACCACUUUUUGAAGCAAGACCUCAGACAAGCAAACACCGGAGAGGUUACAUCCUGUCGGCAGUGGAAGGAUUGAGAGGCGCCAACAAAGGGACACAUCAAACAACAGUAUCUGAUGGGCUAUGCCAAGACCAACGCUUGCAUCACACACUCCAGUGUAACACAUUAGUCAGAACAUUUGACACAGCAACACAGGGAAGCAUUAACCACACUGGUGCAAUGAGGGUUAGGUAGGAGGUAAACAUGCCAGAUGUCUUAAAGACGAUUAAGAAACUAUUAUUAACUAUUUCAACUGGCCACUCAAGGGAGGCCCCAACAGCCAAAACACUGUACCACUGAAUUUGGAUGGCUGAAACUAGAAUUGGUAUACCUGGAUUUAUCUGCAGGAAAAGCUUUGACAUGCCUGUCACACUAUGACUAAUAAUUCAAAAUAGAUUGUUUUUUUUUUUGUUUUUCUUUUAACAGUUUUCUUCAUAAAUACAUCAGACAAACUUAAUGUGGAAACAAAUUCAUUUUUCACGCCCUGAGCAUAAUCAAAAGCAUGAUGGCAUGAUAACAUAUAAUGUAAUCAA